rnacentral:rRNA from 1 species
UACGUAGGUGGCAAGCGUUAUCCGGAAUUAUUGGGCGUAAAGGGAGCGCAGGCGGUUUAUUAAGUUUAUGGUUAAAGUACGGGGCUCAACCCCGUGAUGCCAUAGAAACUGGUAGACUUGAGUGCAGGAGAGGUUAGUGGAAUUCCAUGUGUAGCGGUAAAAUGCGUAGAUAUAUGGAGGAACACCAGUGGCGAAGGCGGCUUCCUGGUCUGUAACUGACACUGAGGCGCGAAAGCGUGGGGAGCAAACAGG